CACCACAGUACCAAGCAAUUCUAUACAUCUAUAGAACUUUUUAUGUUGAAACUAGUAACAAGAAGAUCCCUCUUCUCUUAAUGCAAGCAUACAUCAGGCCAGGACAAACCACUGAUAUUUAACAUACAUGAUCUCACAGUAGAAACAUCACAAGAAACUCUACUAAACUAUUUGUUAACCUCACACUAGAGCGUUCAAGAAAGAUUUAAAGAAGGAGGACUGGCAAUUACCCGCCUGUUACCAACAUCGCUCUGCGUAUCUAUAGAGGUCCAGCCUGCCCAGUGACUCUGUUCAACGGCCGCGGUAUCCUAACCGUGCGAAGGUAGCGUAAUCACUUGUUCUUUAAAUGAGGACUAGUAUGAACGGCACCACGAAGGUUAUACUGUCUCCUCUCUCUAAUCAGUAAAACUAAUCUCCCCGUGAAGAAGCGGGGAUAAAAAUAUAAGACGAGAAGACCCUAUGGAGCUUUAAACUAAGAAUCAACUGCCCACCCCUUCAAUAAAAUUCCAGAAAACUAUCUUCUACCAGGGCUCCCUGACUUCUAGUUUUAGGUUGGGGUGACCACGGAGUAAAAACCAACCUCCGCAAUGAACAGGGAUCUUCCCUUACCCAAGAGCCACAACUCCAAGAAUCAAUAUAUUGACAUCAAUUGACCCAAUAACUUGAUCAAUGAACCAAGUUACCCUAGGGAUAACAGCGCAAUCCACUUCAAGAGCUCCUAUCGACAAGUGGGUUUACGACCUCGAUGUUGGAUCAGGGUAUCCUAGUGGUGCAGCCGCUACUAACGGUUCGUUUGUUCAACGAUU
rnacentral:rRNA from 1 species